GGAGGUCAACCAUGAAACAGUUGCUGCAAGCAUGGCAGCUCAGGAAGCUUGUGAAAAAUGGCGAUUAAGGGGGAAUCAAGCCUAUGCAAAUGGGAACUUAUCUAAAGCAGAGGAAUGCUACACACAAGGACUGAACUGUGUGUCCGAAAGUGACGCAUCUAAGAGCAGUCUUCGGGCUUUAAUGUUAUGCCAUAGCAACCGUGCAGCAACACGUAUGUCUCUCGGAAGAAUGAGAGAAGCACUAGAGGAUUGUUUGAAGGCUGCUGCAUUAGAUCCAAACUUUUUCAGGGUCCAAGUUCGAGCCGCUAACUGUUACCUUGCCCUUGGGGAAGUCGAAA
rnacentral:misc_RNA from 1 species